rnacentral:rRNA from 1 species
UACGUAGGGUGCGAGCGUUGUCCGGAUUUAUUGGGCGUAAAGAGCGUGUAGGCGGUUUGGUAGGUCCGCUGUGAAAACUCGAGGCUCAACCUCGAGACGCCGGUGGAAACCAUCAGACUAGAGUCCGGAAGAGGAGAGUGGAAUUCCUGGUGUAGCGGUGAAAUGCGCAGAUAUCAGGAGGAACACCCGUGGCGAAAGCGGCUCUCUGGGACGGUACUGACGCUGAGACGCGAAAGCGUGGGGAGCAAACAGG